ACGCAGCUGACGAGUCCCAAAUAGGACGAAACGCGCGUCGUGGAU
rnacentral:hammerhead_ribozyme from 1 species